rnacentral:rRNA from 1 species
UACGUAGGGUGCGAGCGUUACUCGGAAUUACUGGGCGUAAAGCGUGCGCAGGCGGUUUUGUAAGCCAGAUGUGAAAGCCCCGGGCUCAACCUGGGAAUGGCAUUUGGGACUGCAAGGCUGGAGUUUGGCAGAGGAGACUGGAAUUCCCGGUGUAGCAGUGAAAUGCGUAGAUAUCGGGAGGAACACCAGUGCCGAAGGCGGCCAUCUGGACGGAUACUGACGCUGAGACGCGAAAGCGUGGGGAGCAAACAGG